rnacentral:rRNA from 1 species
AGUGAACGCUGGCGGUAGGCCUAACACAUGCAAGUCGAACGGCAGCACAGUAAGAGCUUGCUCUUACGGGUGGCGAGUGGCGGACGGGUGAGGAAUACAUCGGAAUCUACCUUUUCGUGGGGGAUAACGUAGAGAAACUUACGCUAAUACCGCAUACGACCUACGGGUGAAAGCAGGGGAUCUUCGGACCUUGCGCGAUUGAAUGAGCCGAUGUCGGAUUAGCUAGUUGGCGGGGUAAAGGCCCACCAAGGCGACGAUCCGUAGCUGGUCUGAGAGGAUGAUCAGCCACACUGGAACUGAGACACGGUCCAGACUCCUACGGGAGGCAGCAGUGGGGAAUAUUGGACAAUGGGCGCAAGCCUGAUCCAGCCAUACCGCGUGGGUGAAGAAGGCCUUCGGGUUGUAAAGCCCUUUUGUUGGGAAAGAAAAGCAGCAGGUUAAUACCCCGCUGUUCUGACGGUACCCAAAGAAUAAGCACCGGCUAACUUCGUG